GCGCCGGUAGUCCAACGGUCAAGACACGGGCUUGCCAAGCCCGUAACGCGGGUUCGACUCCCGCCCGGCGCA
rnacentral:tRNA from 1 species